rnacentral:rRNA from 1 species
UACGUAGGGGGCUAGCGUUGUCCGGAAUCAUUGGGCGUAAAGCGCGUGUAGGCGGCCCGGUAAGUCCGCUGUGAAAGUCGGGGGCUCAACCCUCGGAUGCCGGUGGAUACUGUCGGGCUUGAGUACGGAAGAGGCGAGUGGAAUUCCUGGUGUAGCGGUGAAAUGCGCAGAUAUCAGGAAGAACACCCGUGGCGAAGGCGGCUCUCUGGGACGGUACUGACGCUGAGACGCGAAAGCGUGGGGAGCGAACAGG